CCAGGGGGUUCAGAUCCCACCCCAGGGGGGUCUCACCCAGCCCGGGGGGCUCCCGGCAGGUCCCGGCAGGGCAGCGAGAAGGAAACAACACCAAACCCCAAAUCCUUUCCUGAUGGGAUCGGGACCAGAUCCCACCUGGAGGGACCAGAUCCCACCCGAGGGGGUUCAGAUCCCCCCCGGGGGGUCUCACCCAGCUCGGGGGGCUCCCGGCAGGUCCCGGCAGGGCAGCGAGAAGGGGACACAAGACCCGACCCCAAAUCCUUUCCUGAUGGGAUCGGGACCAGAUCCCACCUGAGGGGGUCAAACCCCACCCGAGGGGGUUCAGAUCCCCCCCGGGGGGUCUCACCCAGCCCGGGGGGCUCCCGGCAGGUCCCGGUAGGGCAGCGAGAGGGGACACAAGACCCGACCCCAAAUCCUUUCCUGAUGGGAUCAGGGCUGGAUCCUGCCCCAUGGAGGGGUCAGAUCCCACCUGAGGGGAUCAAACCCCACCUGGAGGGGAUCAAACCCCACCUGAGGGGGUUCAGAUCCCCCCCGGGGGGUCUCACCCAGCUCGGGGGGCUCCCGGCAGGUCCCGGCAGGGCAGCGAGAAGGAAACAACACCAAACCCCAAAUCCUUUCCUGAUGGGAUCAGGGCUGGAUCCCACCUGGAGGAAUCAGAUCC
rnacentral:lncRNA from 1 species